AUGGCUACAUGUCUGGAGAUUGUCACUGAGGAGGAAAGAGGAGAAAGGCCUGCAAGGGAGGAAGGGACCGUCUGGACCACACACCGAGACUGGGGGCACAGACCCGACAGAGGCCUCGCUCAUGGGCCUUGUUCACUGCUUCCAGAAUGGCUACCCUGUCCAUGGCUGACUAACAACAUACAAGCGCUCCAGCCUUUGCCCUUCCUCAGCCUUGUCACAGAUGAGGCAGAGAAGGAUGGGAGAAGCCAAAUUAACUUCCCCUUCACUGGCUGUAUGGCUUUAGGUGUUUCUUUUGUCACUCCCUGUGCUUGGCUGAUAAACAUGGAUCCAGGUAAGUGCUGUGGCUGGGAGGCUGUGGGGUGAAGAAGGAAGGAGAGAGGUGAGGGCAGAGGCAAUCAGUCAGCCAUAUCUACUGCAUGCCAAGAAUGUGUGUUUGUGUGAAGGUCUGGAGGGUUCUGAAAGGAAAACAAUUUCUUAUAUUUUAUGCGAUACUUUACAGUUUAGGAAACAUGCUCAUACAUCCUUCAUCUCACUAGAUCUUCACUUCAGGAGUAAAACAGACAGGUGCUUCUCCCAUUGUAUACAUGAGGCCCAGGGAAAUUAAGGGUCAUGCUCAGGAUAGGGCUGUGGAGAUAUGGAAGGUCUGGAGCUCAGAACUCAGCUCUUGCCAGCUAUGCCCUUGGCUCCGUUCAAAAGGAAGAAAAGACUAUUCUGGGCCUCAAGAAAUAGAAAUAUCAUUAAGGAGAUGGUUCCCACCAAUGGAUCACUUCAGAACAGCCAGGACCACUCAGAUUGGUUACUGCAGAAUGAGCCCAUUGGACCCAUAGUGGGCAAGCAGAGCGGCAGGAUGGCCCAACAUAAGCAUACUUUGUGCAGGAAGGCACACAGAACGGAGCAAGAAAGAUGUCCAAGUGGCAGAAGACAUGAGCAAAGGCUGAGCUGAGACCAGAAGGUCAUAAGCAGGAACCCACAAAGAGCUGAGGGUCUGAGCAGACACUGGGUUGGAAAAAGUAGGAUUUGGGGAAGGGGGUGGAUGGGGAGGCAGGGCGGGGCCUGUCUGGAGGUGGAAGCAAAAGAACCAGGAUUCGCCACUGUGGAGUGCCUCCCUUAGUGUCAUGGAAUUUGGUCAAGGUUGAGAGGGCAGACAGCUAGCUGCCAGCCUGGGGAUAAGAACCCUCACUCCUUCACUGUACCCUGGAAGUCUCAGCCAGCUCUUGUCCAAACAGGGUUGCACAACUAAGCUUUGUACUGACUUUCCAUAUAUCUGUAUCUGUUGUUGAGAGAAGGAAUGAUUGUCAGGCCGGUGACCAAGUCUGAGGAGCCUUUGCAGGGCUUGGCUGUGGGGGUGGGGCAGGGUUUGGUG
rnacentral:lncRNA from 1 species